UACGUAGGGCGCAAGCGUUGUCCGGAAUUAUUGGGCGUAAAGAGCUCGUAGGCGGCCUGUUGCGUCCGCUGUGAAAUCCCGGGGCUUAACCCCGGGCGUGCAGUGGAUACGGGCAGGCUGGAGGCAGGCAGGGGAGAACGGAAUUCCCGGUGUAGCGGUGAAAUGCGCAGAUAUCGGGAGGAACACCGGUGGCGAAGGCGGCGCUCUGGACCGAGACUGACGCUGAGGCGCGAAAGCGUGGGGAGCAAACAGG
rnacentral:rRNA from 1 species